rnacentral:rRNA from 1 species
AUUGAACGCUGGCGGCAUGCCUUACACGUGCAAGUCGAACGGCAGCGGGGGAGAAGCUUGCUUUUCCUGCCGGCGAGUGGCGAACGGGUGAGUAAUACAUCGGAACGUGCCCUGUAGUGGGGGAUAACUAGUCGAAAGAUUAGCUAAUACCGCAUACGACCUGAGGGUGAAAGGGGGGGACCGCAAGGCCUCAUGCUAUAGGAGCGGCCGAUGUCUGAUUAGCUAGUUGGUGGGGUAAAGGCCUACCAAGGCGACGAUCAGUAGCUGGUCUGAGAGGACGAUCAGCCACACUGGGACUGAGACACGGCCCAGACUCCUACGGGAGGCAGCAGUGGGGAAUUUUGGACAAUGGGCGAAAGCCUGAUCCAGCAAUGCCGCGUGUGUGAAGAAGGCCUUCGGGUUGUAAAGCACUUUUGUCCGGAAAGAAAUGGCUCUGGUUAAUACCUGGGGUCGAUGACGGUACCGGAAGAAUAAGGACCGGCUAACUACGUGCCAGCAGCCGCGGUAAGAC